rfam:Lentisphaerae bacterium GWF2_49_21 gwf2_scaffold_908, whole genome shotgun sequence.
GCUCGGGUGGUGAAAUGGCAGACACGCAUGUUUGAGGGGCAUGUGGAGCAAUCCGUGUGGGUUCAAGUCCCACCCCGAGCA